CUAGGUUCCUGACUUCUUAGGUGUGACCACAAUUGAAGUGACCUGACCUGAGGGUCCAUCUCUUCCACAAGGAAUCCAUAUGAAAGAAGUAACUGCCCUCAGCAGCAACUUUUAUAAAUAAGACUGACACACACACACAAAAAGCUUGCUAAUUAUUUUUUAAAGGAUUACAACAAAAAUCCUAUGGUAUUUUUUCUUACACAUUUUGUACCAUAUAAAAUGAAGGGAGGGAAAGUGCCCAGCAUGAAGUUCUGUGGUUUCUCCUGCAUCCCACUAGGCUACCUGGGAGCACCACAGAGAGCAUAAUUUUGAGUUAGCAGAAAUGGGAAGACCUAGGUAAAUUUAGUGUUGUGGAGAGGAAAUAAUGUAAAGAGCUCCCGUCUUCCUUCACUUGAGAGUGUGGGGCUGGGCUGGGGACAAUGUGAGAGAAGGCGGAAGAGUAGUAAAAGCUUGGAGCAGCUACAUUGCAGAAUGGAAUGAUAGGGAGCACUGAGGACAAGAGAAAUGAUUGCUGAGCAGUGUGGUGGCCCUGGUAGGUUGGAAGGCUUAUUUUUAGAAGGCUGCCAAGCAGUUGAGGAGGGAAGAUUUUCCUCGACAACUUGGUGUAGGAUUGGGCCCACCUUAAAGUAGACAGGGCAGAAGCAGAGAUUACAAUGAGCGAGCAAGAAUGGCCAGAGUUGAAGAUCCUCGUUGCAGAGCUUUGACCCUCUCUCCUGUGUGGCACUUGGCGAAGUCGGGGAUGGUUUUAGUGGAGAACAUGUGCUAACCUUUCUCAUCCCCCAGGUGUGAGAGCCGUUAUGCCAUGAACAACAGCAUCACACAUUGGCUGAGCCAAGCCUUCCUGAUUGGGCAUCAGUGGUUUUCUGAGCUAACAUCACUGCUACUUUGCCACAUGCAUACGACUCUAAGUUCAAAACCUAUCUUUCUUGUUCAGUGACUCCAUUUUUAGCAACUUGAUGCACACACUUGAGAGCUUGAGGAAUGGAGAAUCUUGAGGUCAAAGAAGGCUAAAGUGAUCUUGUGGAGCAGGCAUCCCCCACCUCCUCUUUUCUCCACCAAUCACAAUAACAUGCUAGGAUAAAGAAAGAAACAAAUUAGAAAGUGAUCUAAUACAUGUCUGCUGUGGCACUGACAGUGAUGAGAGUCUACCUAAAGUUGCUCUCCAAAGUGAAAGCCAGGAAGCAAGAGUCCUGGAGACAGGUGAGCCUGGGAUGAUCUGAAGAGACGCUAAAAGUUCCUAGCACACUAGGGGAACCUCUUUUGAAUAUAUUGAAUUAUAUCUUUCCACUUAAAUAUCUGGGAAAUGAAGAUAUAGCUCCAACCUUUAGGAGUUCCUAACAUUCAAGCUUUCUUUUACUUGGCAGGUGUCCUAAAGGGUAUCAAAAAGCUGCUGAUAAAAACAUCAAGAUUUAAGUACUAGAGGGAUGCUUAACAAAUCAAAUAUUUUGUAAGAAAAAAUCUCUACUAUGAAUAAUUGCCCUUUAACCAUUCUAUUGUGAUAUGUUGGAUUUUCUACU
rnacentral:lncRNA from 1 species